GUCAUACUACGGUGCAUGGCACUGCAAAGUAAACGAUGACCCAUAGUGAACUUCGCGGUAAAAUACGUAUCAAAUUGAAAAUUGCUGCUGACCUGGGGCGUUGCUCCCGGGUCGGUUUUCUU
rnacentral:sRNA from 1 species